rnacentral:rRNA from 1 species
AUAGCGUAUAUUAAAGUUGUUGCAGUUAAAAAGCUCGUAGUUGGAUUUCUGUUAAUAAUUUAUAUAAAAUAUUUUGAUGAAUAUUUAUAUAAUAUUAACAUAAUUCAUAUUACUAUAUAUUUUAGUAUAUGAAAUUUUACUUUGAGAAAAUUAGAGUGCUUAAAGCAGGCAUAUGCCUUGAAUACUCCAGCAUGGAAUAAUAUUAAAGAUUUUUAUCUUUCUUAUUGGUUCUAAGAUAAGAAUAAUGAUUAAUAGGGACAGUUGGGGGCAUUUGUAUUUAACAGUCAGAGGUGAAAUUCUUAGAUUUGUUAAAGACAAACUAAUGCGAAAGCAUUUGCCAAGGAUGUUUUCAUUAAUCAAGAACGAAAGUUAGGGGAUCGAAGACGAUCAGAUACCGUCGUAGUCUUAACCAUAAACUAUGC